rnacentral:rRNA from 1 species
ACGCGGAGGGNCAUUACCGAGUUAUACAACUCAUCAACCCUGUGAACAUACCUAUAACGUUGCCUCGGCGGGAACAGACGGCCCCGUAACACGGGCCGCCCCCGCCAGAGGACCCCCUAACUCUGUUUCUAUAAUGUUUCUUCUGAGUAAACAAGCAAAUAAAUUAAAACUUUCAACAACGGAUCUCUUGGCUCUGGCAUCGAUGAAGAACGCAGCGAAAUGCGAUAAGUAAUGUGAAUUGCAGAAUUCAGUGAAUCAUCGAAUCUUUGAACGCACAUUGCGCCCGCCAGUAUUCUGGCGGGCAUGCCUGUUCGAGCGUCAUUACAACCCUCAGGCCCCCGGGCCUGGCGUUGGGGAUCGGCGGAAGCCCCCUGCGGGCACAACGCCGUCCCCCAAAUACAGUGGCGGUCCCGCCGCAGCUUCCAUUGCGUAGUAGCUAACACCUCGCAACUGGAGAGCGGCGCGGCCACGCCGUAAAACACCCAACUUCUGAAUGUUGACCUCGAAUCAGGUAGGAAUACCCGCUGAACUUAAGCAUAUCAAAA